GGUGAAUUGCCAGAAUCAGAAGAGUGGCGUAAGAAUCAUACCUGAGAGCACAGGUGAAGGGAUGCAUGCGGAUUUGCAGCAGCCUGCCUUGAUUUAGGAGUAUAUGGGCACUUGAAUAGUGAAUAAACGGGAAGACAUGAGCACCAGCCAAUGAGGAUUGCAUAGUGGCAACUGGAACACCUGAAAACUAGGAAGAUGGGAUAUGUAUAUAUGCCUUUGCCCAGUGCUUU